rnacentral:lncRNA from 1 species
AAAUCUUCAAUUGGCUUCUGUUUCAAAACAAAAUAUUGACAGCAAAGAAUUUGGAAAAGAGGCACAUGCAAAUUCAGUUCAAAUGCCCGCUCUGUGCAAAAGAUGAGGAAUCAGCAGAUCACCUCUUCGCAGAGUGCACCUUUACCAGGCAAAUCUGGAACCUCAUCGGACAGAAGCUAAACAUCAAUCUUAACUUCAAUUCUAUUGACGAUCUAUGGAGAGAGCAGAGACUCUCACUCCCAAACCAAAUCAAACCAAAAGCAUGGGACACCUUGGUAGGUAGGAAUAGUGUGUUGGAUGAUUUGAAAGGAAAGAAACAAGAGGCUUUUCUGUUUUGAAGCCCAUCUCCCAAGGAUUAUCUUCAGCCGAAUAGUCUCCUCGCUACAGGAAUGGAUUCUGUGCUGCUCUGUAAAGAACAAGCGCUACCUCGAGUCAGUGGUGUCAAGGCUAAUGGGUGAAGGAAAUGGAUAAAGGAAA